UUUAUGGAGAGUUUGAUCCUGGCUCAGGAUGAACGCUGGCGGCGUGCCUAAUACAUGCAAGUCGAGCGAACGGACGAGAAGCUUGCUUCUCUGAUGUUAGCGGCGGACGGGUGAGGAACACGUGGAUAACCUACCUAUAAGACUGGGAUAACUUCGGGAAACCGGAGCUAAUACCGGAUAAUAUUUUGAACCGCAUGGUUCAAAAGU
rnacentral:rRNA from 1 species